rnacentral:rRNA from 1 species
GACGAACCGUGCGAACGUUGUUCGGAUUCACUGGGCUUAAAGGGCGCGUAGGCGGGUUAUCAAGUCAGGGGUGAAAUCUUUCGGCUUAACCGGAAAAUGGCCUCUGAUACUGGUAGUCUUGAGGGAGGUAGGGGCAGGUGGAACUUCCGGUGGAGCGGUGAAAUGGGUUGAUAUCGGAAGGAACGCCGGUGGCGAAAGCGACCUGCUGGAGCUCUUCUGACGCUGAGGCGCGAAAGCUAGGGGAGCGAACGGG